UGAGUUAUUCCAUGUGCUGAUUGUCCUGAGGGUUGAAAAUGAAAUAUAUAAUCCCUGCCGUCCAGGAGCUCCCCGUUUAGCCUUCCUUAGUGGAGUGAUUCUGAUAAAUGAGGGAUCCUGCCCAUGAUGUAUCACCCCGUGAAGUGGAAGAAUACAACAUCUCACAGACCUCUAAGGGUCGGCCUUGGAGCCAUGCGAAAAUGCCACUGUUCGAGUUUGGAGUGAAGAUAGAGGUAAAGUGGUCCACACUGCCAAAUUUAAAGAAAUCAGAGAGAAUGCAGACAAGGAGCCCUGUGAAACUCAGGGGAUCGAAACUACCUGUGUUGUACAGAACACCAUCUAAUAGUUACUAUUUUAAGACCUCCAGUCAUUAAAAAAAGUCUUUAAAUUAUGA